CUCAAAGAUUAAGCCAUGCAUGUCCAAGUAUAAGCACCUAUACCGUGAAACUGCGAAUGGCUCAUUAAAUCAGUUAUCGUUUAUUUGAUAGUACCUUUACCUGGAUAACCGUGGUAAUUCUAGAGCUAAUACAUGCUAAAAACCUCGACUUCGGAAGGGGUGUAUUUAUUAGAUAAAAAACCGAUGCCCUCCGGGGCUCCUUGGUGAUUCAUAAUAACUCAACGAAUCGCAUGGCCUUGCGCCGGCGAUGGUUCAUUCAAAUUUCUGCCCUAUCAACUUUCGAUGGUAGGAUAGUGGCCUACCAUGGUCUUUACGGGUAUGUCUCACCAACUUUCUCUAACCUUUCAUGAUCUAUACUAACUCAUCUAAAGGUAACGGGGAAUUAGGGUUCUAUUCCGGAGAGGGAGCCUGAGAAACGGCUACCACAUCCAAGGAAGGCAGCAGGCGCGCAAAUUACCCAAUCCCGACACGGGGAGGUAGUGACAAUAAAUACUGAUACAGGGGUCUUUUGGCUCGUGUAAUUGGAAUGAGUACAAUCUAAAUCCCUUAACGAGGAACAAUUGGAGGGCAAGUCUGGUGCCAGCAGCCGCGGUAAUUCCAGCUCCAAUAGCGUAUAUUAAAGUUGUUGCCGUUAAAAAGCUCGUAGUUGAACCUUGGGCCUGGCUGAUCUGUCCUCCUAAUCGAGCGCACGGAUUCGGUCGGGCCUUUCCUUCUGGGGAGCCCGAUGUCCUUCACUGGGCGUCGCGGGGAACCAG
rnacentral:rRNA from 1 species